CCUCUGAAAAUACAGCAGGAUAUCCCAGGAAGUCCCAAGACAAAAUCCCAGGAUUUAUCAGGAUUGUCCUGAAAAGUCCUGCUUUUUUGAAACUGAGAUUGACAAGGAAUUAGAGGGACGGUAUUGGCAGUGGGACAUUUCAGGACUUUUAAGGAUAAUUUCCCCAUUGAAAAUACAGCAGGAUAUCCCAGGAAGUCCCAAGACAAAAUCCCAGGAUUUAUCAGGAUUGUCCUGAAAAGUCCUGCUUUUUUGAAACUGAGAUUGACAAGGAAUUAGAGGGACGGUAUUGGCAGUGGGACAUUUCAGGACUUUUAAGGAUAAUUUGAACACUUAAAUUUGCCUUUUAUUGUCCUGCAAAGUCUCACUUAAUCCUGCAAUCUGAAAGGGGAGAAAGUGGGAUUAUUCUGGACAUGUCUUGGAAAGUCCCAGUAGACAGGACUGGGAUUUUGCAGGAUUUUAUUGGAUCUCCCUAAAAAUCCUGCUUUUUGAGUUGAUGCAAGACUCCUGGAAAGUCCCAAUUUAUCCUACUAACCUGUUUUGGUCUUACCCUACUGUGGAAUAAAACUCGAGAUCCAGGAUAUGUGAUAUCUUUUCUGUAAAAGUGGCAAUUAAGAAUGAAAUUAUGAAUCAAAAUGAUAAUCUGAUAAUAAAAUUUAUUUAACAUACAUAUACAUAAAUUUCAGCAAUACUUAUAUGAACUUCCAAAGCAAGUACUUUGAAAAGUUCAUUUAAAUUAUGGCUGGGGUGAGCUAAAAAGCACUAUUUCUUACGUAAACAAAUAAUUAAACAAGAGGUCCAUGGGCCACAUCGCUCACCUUAGUCAUCUUGGUCCAUAUUUAAAGAUUUCCCAUAUACUUGUAUGUAAAACUUUUGUCCCUAUAAUGUGGCCAAAACCUACCCUUGGGGGCCACGAUUCAGGGUUGUCACUAGAAAAUAUUGAAGACGAGUCCCGGUAUCAUGGUUUGUAAGCAGCUUGAGUCCCAUGAAAAUUUGACGAGUCCCAUGAAAGUUGAAUUAAAGAGUCAUUUAGAUUUUUCCUACACCUUUAUUUAUACCGAGUGAACACAAGCUAAUGUCGUACCUCUGUUCACUUUCAUCUUCAACAAAUGGCAAAAAUCAGUUAAUUUUCGCCAAGCCCAUGCAUAACAGUGCAGUGAUCACUUUGUACACAUGAAAUUAAAAGUAAUCAUUCACGACUCGGUCUCAUACAACUAAUUGCCCAUUGCAAACAGAAUUACUUCCCCGAAUCCUCUAUCAUCGUUACAACCCUAUUCAGUAUUAAACAAAAUUUUAAUUAAAUAAUUAUUGUGAUAAAAUAGAUGCGUACUAAUUUUGUUUGUAAAAUGAUGUAAAAUCUACCAAAGUUUACAAACUACGCUACUUUCAAUUCCAAUAAAAAUGGCUACCGGAAGACAAACAUUUAUAAUUAAAUAUAGAUCCUGAUUUGUAAAAAAAAAGAAAGAAAAAGAAACAUAUAUAAAUAACUGCCUGUGAGUGGCAAAAUGUUUUUUACUUUGUAUCUAAAUUUCAAUAUUAUAUUAUAAUUUGCACCUAAUUGACUGCACUAAACAAACAAGUCGGAUUGGGACACUGUGAACUCGGUGGUAUCAUCUCGGUUCACAUUAGAGCGUAACGUUUUACCUAGAUUUUUUCCUAUGAGUUUUAAUUAAUACACAAAUCAGGGCUUCUAAGUAAAAUUAUGAUUUUUACUCAGAGUCCGAGACACGUCUGCGGGACUCGCCAUAUCAGACAAACCCCAAUGAAAUUUCUGUGAUCCUAUUCUUGCGUUAGUGACAACCCUGUGAAUUUUACAAACUUGAGUCUACACUAUGUCGGGAAGCUUUCAUGUAAAUCUCAGCUUUUCUGGCCAAGUGUUUCUUGAGAAGACAAUUUUCAUAAAGAUUUUCCCUGUAUAUUUGUAAGUAAAACUUUGAUCCCCUAUUGAGACCCAAUCCAACCCCCCCCCCCCCCAGGUCAUUGGUUUUAACAAACUUGAAUCUGUACUGUCAGGAGGCUUUCAUGUAAAUUUCAGCUUCUCUGUCCCAGUGGUUCUUGAGAAGAUUUUUGAAUGACCCCACCGUAUUUUUGCGAUUAUCUCCCCUUUGAAGGGGCAUGGCCCUUCAUUUGAACAAACUUGAAAGCCUUUCACCCAAGGGUGCUUUGUGUCACUUAGUUUGGUUGAAAUUGACCCAGUGGUUCUGGAGAAGAUGAAAAUGUGAAAAGUUUUCGCCGACGACAGACAACGAACAAAUUUUGAUCAGAAAAGCUCACUUGAACCUUCGGCCCAGGUGAGCUAAAAAAAAAAAAUUUAAACAGGUAUUAUCAAAUUGUCCCUGAAGUUGAAUUUUGUUUAUCUUGAUGUCACGGGUAACCUGGAGUGGUUCAAAGAUCUAUUUCUUCGACUCGUGGGUGGGGGAAGGUGGCUCCAGACCUAAACAACUUGAGACGGUCUCUCAUCUUGUUGCGAACUUCUUUGAGGGCCAUCUCUGGAUUUUUCUCUGGUACAGAGGCUUAAAAGAUAGCAUAAUGAAUUAUUUGAGAGGUUGCAUAACAGGUUUUGUAAAUGAACAUCAUGCAAAAUUUAAAAUAUUUAUGUCUUGAACUUGUAUAUAUGCACCUUCUGCAUCGUCUUCCCUUUUAUCUAAGCCAUCUUUGGUCUCACGGGCGUUUUCCUGUCACACUGCAUGAUGUCGGUUCAUCCACUGAAAACAGUGCCUUGUUAAAAGUCACUUGAUGAUAUUCUAAAUUCAUAACUAUCUCUUCAAGUCCAUGCUACAAUGAAAGAGAACAUGUACUAGAUAAAAAUAUUGGAAACAGGAUGAUAAUUUGUUAAGGUGUGACAAUUCCACUAGACUACCAAAAAAGAUGAAUUAUUACAAACCAAAAGUAAAAAUACUAACCAGCAACGCCGUGUAUUUUGAACAACUAGGCCUAUCCCCCAGUUUCUGAGUGUAAGGUGAAUCCUAUAUUCCUACCUGGAAUCCAUUCCAUGCUUGAUUGCAUACUGAUUCUGUUGAAUGUUCUCCAUCCUUGCGAAUAUUUCCCUGACUUCGCGCCCAGAAAGGAACAUUGAAAAAAAAGCGCUUUGAUCACUUGCGUGAACGUCAGGUCGUACACUGACUGACUCGUCCCCAGGUCAACACGUAACCAAAAGACGAUCAGUAAAAAGUUAUACAAUCGACCAGUGGAAACCCAGUGUAUAAGACUUCAUAUAUAUACAUAUGAUAUAUUUUAUACAUGAUAUAUCUUAUAUCGAAUUAGAACGGGGAGAAGAAAAAAACACGACAAGCUUCGUACAUUGUACAAGUUGACCGAAACGACAUCACCGGAAGUUACAACUUUCAAAGAAGUCAUUUAUGAUUUAAAGAUUUGUGAAUGGAAAUCAGUAACAUCGGAAUGAAAAAGGACUACGGUGUAACGGAUGACACUCUGAGAUUGAGAACCCAAAAGGUACAUGCUGUGCAAGAAAGAUGUAAACAUGCGAAUUCCUAAAUGUACUAAAUAUUAAAACAUCAACUGCAAUCUUCAGUGGUGACAUCCAAAAGUUGAUAUGCCAUUGGUACUUCAAGUGAUACGACCGUGACAUUGGAAAAUCCUUUUAACUUAUCAUCACUUGAGCCUGAAUUGCAAUCCUUUUGAUACAGACAUUUUUUUAAGUUCAGUUUCGAACAUUAAUGCCGCUGUGUCAUCUCUGGAAAUGGAAAAGCCUACCACAAAAUCUGAUGAAUUUUUGAACAUUCUUUCACAAAAAGGGAUCUUCUUUAUUUUGAAGAAGGUAGCCCAGGAACUGGAAAUCUGUUAUCAAAAUGAUCUUAAUAAUACACUGGACAAUAUUCUAACCUAAAAAAAAAACAUGACAAACCCGAUUGAACUCCUGUGAUGAAGCAUCUCAAAACUCAAAUUAUGGUAGUCUUUCAAGUGACAUUGAGGAUUUCAAUAGCGCAUUUGACAGUAAAGUGAUUUUUAUUCAAGUUCAGAUUGUUGUCAUUAUAAAUUUAUAAGAAGUGUUCUCAUAGCCAACAUUUUUCAAGUCUACUUUUGAUGAAAUAUAGUCUUUUCUAUUACAACUUAUUAUGACAUGAUUGUUGUUGUAUACAUAAAUGUUCUUAUCCACGAAUCAUUUACUGUUCUUAUAGGUUUAUUUUAGCCUGAACUAUGUAGCAAUGACGUGUCAAGGUAAUCCAGAAAAUGUAAAAUCUUUUCUUUGAUAUGACAAGGAUUUAAUUUUGUAACAAUUAAUAUCUAAAAGUCCUGUAACCCUCAUUAAAGUCCUUUAUAAUCUGA